AUUGAACGCUGGCGGCAUGCCUUACACAUGCAAGUCGAACGGUAACAGGCCGCAAGGUGCUGACGAGUGGCGAACGGGUGAGUAAUGCAUCGGAACGUGCCCAGUCGUGGGGGAUAACCGCUCGAAAGAGCAGCUAAUACCGCAUACGACCUGAGGGUGAAAGCGGGGGACCGUAAGGCCUCGCGCGAUUUGAGCGGCCGAUGUCAGAUUAGCUAGUUGGUGGGGUAAAGGCCUACCAAGGCAACGAUCUGUAGUUGGUCUGAGAGGACGACCAGCCACACUGGGACUGAGACACGGCCCAGACUCCUACGGGAGGCAGCAGUGGGGAAUUUUGGACAAUGGGCGCAAGCCUGAUCCAGCAAUGCCGCGUGCAGGAAGAAGGCCUUCGGGUUGUAAACUGCUUUUGUCAGGGAAGAAAUCUACUGGGCUAAUACCCCGGGAGGAUGACGGUACCUGAAGAAUAAGCACCGGCUAACUACGUGCCAGCCGCCGCCGUAAUAC
rnacentral:rRNA from 1 species